UACGAACUGUGCAAACGUUAUUCGGAUUCACUGGGCUUAAAGGGUGCGUAGGCGGCCAUGUAAGUAGGGUGUGAAACCUCCCCGCUUAACCGGGGAACUGCGCCCUAAACUGUAUGGCUGGAGUGAGAUAGGGGUGUGUGGAACUUCCGGUGGAGCGGUGAAAUGUGUUGAUAUCGGAAGGAACGCCGGUGGCGAAAGCGACACACUGGGUCUCAACUGACGCUGAGGCACGAAAGCCAGGGG
rnacentral:rRNA from 1 species